rnacentral:tRNA from 1 species
UCCCCUGUGGCUCAGUUGGUAGAGCAUGGUGUUUGCAAUGCCAGCAUGGUGUGUGCAACGCCAGGGUUGUGGGUUCGAUUCCCACGGGGGGCC